rnacentral:rRNA from 1 species
GUCUGUGGCCAUACCACCAUGAACUUACUUGAUCUUGUCUGAGCUCUGAAGCCAAACAGGGUUGGGCCUGCUUAGUAUUUGGAUGGGAGAAGGUGGCUGGAUCAGAAU